UUCUCUUUGGAGAUCCCUGUAUACCAAAGGUCUUCUGAAGGGAUUUCUCUGCAAAGAAACUUUGUUCCAUAGUGGAUCCAUGUUUUUUAGAAGACUGGCGAUACCCUUCAAUUUUAUAAUAGAAGAAGAACUGUGUAUCCCAGAGGACCUCAUGGUCAGGGAAGGAAGAUACAUCAUGGAAGAUACGUCGUCUGGUUGUGCACGGGCUUUCGCUUGCUGCCAGGGAGAGGAGUGGGUGUGCUUUCAAGCCGUGCGCCUUCAUCAAGAAGCCAGAGGACCCACGAGCCUACUGCCCCCCUGUCAUGGGCACAGAUUUAUCUAGAUAACUCCAUGACAACUUGAGAAUCUAUCAGUUUGAUUUUAAUCUAUCUGAACAGGGGGAAACAAAGUUGGCCAAAAAAAUUCUAUUUAAUUUGAACAAAAUCUCACUGAAGAUUAAAAUAUGCUGCUUCUACUUCUGACAGAAGUUCCAUCUCCUCUUCUUUGGAUGAAAAAAACACAGUUAAUUUCCUCAUAGAUCAUUGAUUUUAGAUCCUACAGCAAGUAAGCCACACUGAAUGAUUAGCAGUGCCCUAGCUCUGUGUCUUUUUUUUUGUGUGUACUCAAUCUAGAAAAUCAAUAACAUGCUGACAGGUAGAGUCAUAUUUGAAUGCAGACAUGUAUUUCAACUGAAAUCCAGUUUUUAUUCUGCAGAGUCAUAGACUUGCUGCUUGGUUGUUUGUUUGGAUAUUGUGAUGUACUAUUAGUGGAUUUUACUGUUAAUCCUUAGAUUAAUUGAUUACAUUGUGAUAGUGAUAUUGUUAUGAAACUGAGACAAAACAAUUGCUUUUAAUAUUGAUGUCAUAUGUCAACAAUUUAUUACAUUCUUCUCCUUAGACAACUAGUUGGGUGUGAGGACAGAUCACUGGCUUAAAUGGCAUUGAAUGUUUAAUUAAAAUACAUGUAU
ensembl:lncRNA